AAAUACUUCUUCUGUUAUUCAACUUCACGAGAUCUACAUCAUGAGAGAUUUCCUUUUUAUAUCUACAUUAGCUCUCUCUUAAGAAUCUGUUUUACAGUUAUUGAGCUGUUGAAGAAGAUACAACUACCUAACUGAAGAGAAACUAACUGAUUACCAGAAAAGGAAGAAACAGAGUACAAGAACAGAGUGCUAAUUAGAGAGCUCUUGGCUUUACAAGCUUCGCAGAUUAUUCAUAUGCAGCAAUACACCCUUAUCUUUAUCUUCUUUCCUUUCUCUGGUUUUAACAGUAGUUCUUCUUCUUCUUGUACCCUUCUCGGCAUCAUUUAUAUAUUCUGCUUCUUCCUCAUAUGCUUUCCUCCUCCUGUUCUUGAUGGCAUUAUUAGUGGCUGUGCUGCUGCUAUGUACUGUAGUCUUAACAAGACUCAGGCCCGCUACCAGGACGUCGACUCCUCGGCCACCUUUGUCUACGCAGCAACCGAUCCGACUCGCUCAACCUCAGCGUGAUUCAAGCUCUUAGUGAGGAAAUUUUAGCACACUAGUCAGUGGAUUUUUUCGACAGAUAGAUGGGAGAAGGCGAGAAAAUUGAUUCUCCGGCUUUUGCUUGCGAAUCUAAUUGAGGGUUUUUGAUGAAGUAAUUCAGACGGCAGAGAGAAUGCCUCGAGGUUGCCAAUGCCACCCCCAGCCUCCCCAUCACCCUUCCUAGCUGCUCAUCAGCGCGAUCUACUCCACCUUCGUGGGACUCAUCACUUGCAGAGAGCACAACCUCCUUGUGUCCCGUCAGUAUGCGCCACCCUCCCUCGAUCCCCUUGUUGUCGUAAGACAUGGGGAGCAUAGCCUUUACUCAUGCGGCUCGAGAAGGCGACGUUGGGGCUCAUGAGGAACAGCUCAGCUGCCUCUGCCUACACAUACGCGGAAGUCUCCAUUUCUCUACCUCUUUAUUGCUCUGAGUGGUUACACGAGAGAGAACUCCCUUCGAGAGAAGGAAGAAGAGGAGUAAAGUGAACACGGGACUCACAAGAAAAGAAAUAUAAAUCUAAUUUAAAAGAG
rnacentral:lncRNA from 1 species